AGCACCCCUCCUCUGUGUUGUCCAAGCUGCAGUGGUUCUUUGCAGUUCCUGGACUCUGCUUCCUGGUCCUGCAUCUAGUAGACGCUGAGACUAGGAACCCCAGUUUGGGGCGCCUGCGUCUUUAAGCCCACCCACCACAGGUGCAAAGGUUACCACCCUCCCGAGAUCCAAAGCCACUCCCAAAGGUAGCCCACAGAAAGACAGACUUAUUUCCUCUGAGAGCUGGUAACAGUCAGCAGGGCCCUGACCGCAGAGGAAGUGCAACCCAUCUUCCUGUCCGGCCAUAUUUAAGCUGCAAGCGGAGUGCGUCCCACAUUUCGGUCCGGCCAGGCCUCGGAGCCCCAGCCUGACCGCUGAGCUGCCUGCACACGCAGGAGCUGGCAAGCCGCAGGCCCCGGCAGGCGGAAAGCCGCGUCCAGUUGCCGGGACGCAGAAUGAGACAAACAAGAAGGCAGUAGCUGUUCCUGGGAGACAAAGGUCGACAACCAGGAUUUGGAAAGGAAGGGAAAACUCAAAAUUUUACCAUUCGCAGCGCGGCACUACAGAGACUGGAGAGAGCUGACUCUGGACUACUUCUCUUCCAUCACAUCCUGCUGAUGGGGUCUGAACACCAGAGCUCUGUACUUCACCCCGACCCAAUGACCUACAUACUGCACACUCAGCCAUCCAGGCUUCUGCAGGCGGCAGGUGAAAAGCAGAAUUUGAACCCAUGGCACAGAAGUCAGUUGCACUGAAAUUAUAAUUGGAGGUCCCAGCAGUCGCUUAAUCUAAGAAAUCUGAAACACAAAGAGCCUAGAAG